rnacentral:rRNA from 1 species
AGUGAACGCUGGCGGCAGGCCUAAUACAUGCAAGUCGAACGGCAGCACAGCAGAGCUUGCUCUGUGGGUGGCGAGUGGCGGACGGGUGAGGAAUACAUGGGAAUCUGCCCAGUCGUGGGGGAUAACGUAGGGAAACUUACGCUAAUACCGCAUGCGCCCUUCGGGGGAAAGCCGGGGACCUUCGGGCCUGGCGCGAUUGGAUGAGCCCAUGUCGGAUUAGCUAGUUGGCGGGGUAAUGGCCCACCAAGGCGACGAUCCGUAGCUGGUCUGAGAGGAUGAUCAGCCACACUGGAACUGAGACACGGUCCAGACUCCUACGGGAGGCAGCAGUAGGGAAUAUUGGACAAUGGGCGCAAGCCUGAUCCAGCCAUGCCGCGUGAGUGAAGAAGGCCCUCGGGUUGUAAAGCUCUUUUGUCCGGAAAGAAAAGCGCCGGGUUAAUACCCUGGUGUCCUGACGGUACCGGAAGAAUAAGCACCGGCUAACUACGUGCCAGC